rnacentral:SRP_RNA from 1 species
GAUGAGGGGUCCCUGCAAUGGGGACCUUGCGAACCUGGUCAGGGUGGAAACACAGCAGCCAUAAGCUCGGCUCCCUCUGUGCAGUGGGCCCCUCAUCGGA